UACAGAGGUCUCAAGCGUUGUUCGGAUUUAUUGGGCGUAAAGGGCGCGUAGGCGGCGGGGUAAGUCGGGUGUGAAAUCUCAGGGCUCAACCCUGAAACUGCACUUGAUACUGCUCUGCUUGAGGACUGGAGAGGAGACUGGAAUUCACGGUGUAGCAGUGAAAUGCGUAGAUAUCGUAAGGAAGACCAGUGGCGAAGGCGGGUCUCUGGACAGUUCCUGACGCUGAGGCGCGAAGGCCAGGGGAGCAAACGGG
rnacentral:rRNA from 1 species